CUGCCUACGGGAGGCAGCAGUGAGGAAUAUUGGUCAAUGGGCGGAAGCCUGAACCAGCCAAGUCGCGUGAGGGAAUAAGGCCCUACGGGUCGUAAACCUCUUUUGCCGGGGAGCAAGGGCGGGGACGUGUCCCAGCCCGGAGAGUACCCGGGGAAAAAGCAUCGGCUAACUCCGUGCCAGCAGCCGCGGUAAUACGGAGGAUGCGAGCGUUAUCCGGAUUUAUUGGGUUUAAAGGGUGCGUAGGCGGGCUUUUAAGUCAGCGGUAAAAAUUCGGGGCUCAACCCCGGCCGGCCGUUGAAACUGGG
rnacentral:rRNA from 1 species